rnacentral:rRNA from 1 species
UGAUCUGUGUAUGUGGGGUCGCGUGAGAGGGUGAUCGCCCNNACGACUGGUACUGAGACACGGACCAGACUCCUACGGGAGGCAGCAGUGAGGAAUAUUGGACAAUGGGUGAGAGCCUGAUCCAGCCAUCCCGCGUGAAGGACGACGGCCCUAUGGGUUGUAAACUUCUUUUGUAUAGGGAUAAACCUACUCUCGUGAGAGUAGCUGAAGGUACUAUACGAAUAAGCACCGGCUAACUCCGUGCCAGCAGCCGCGGUAAUACGGAGGGUGCAAGCGUUAUCCGGAUUUAUUGGGUUUAAAGGGUCCGUAGGCGGAUCUGUAAGUCAGUGGUGAAAUCUCAUAGCUUAACUAUGAAACUGCCAUUGAUACUGCAGGUCUUGAGUAAAUUUGAAGUGGCUGGAAUAAGUAGUGUAGCGGUGAAAUGCAUAGAUAUUACUUAGAACACCAAUUGCGAAGGCAGGUCACUAAGAUUUAACUGACGCUGAUGGACGAAAGCGUGGGGAGCGAACAGGAUUAGAUACCCUGGUAGUCCACGCCGUAAACGAUGCUAACUCGUUUUUUGUGAUUCGUCAUGAGAGACUAAGCGAAAGUGAUAAGUUAGCCACCUGGGGAGUACGUUCGCAAGAAUGAAACUCAAAGGAAUUGACGGGGGCCCGCACAAGCGGUGGAUUAUGUGGUUUAAUUCGAUGAUACGCGAGGAACCUUACCAAGACUUAAAUGGGAAUUGACAGACUUAGAAAUAGAUCCUUCUUCGGACAGUUUUCAAGGUGCUGCAUGGUUGUCGUCAGCUCGUGCCGUGAGGUGUUAGGUUAAGUCCUGCAACGAGCGCACCCCUGUCGCCGUUGCUACAU